rnacentral:antisense_RNA from 1 species
CAAUGGAGGUCACUCCACUGUCACUACAAAUUCCGGGAAGUAAACUUCCCCAGAUUCCUCCACUUGGAGGUGGCGCUCGGCCUCAGGCUAGGAGGGAACAGGUGAGAAAGCAGCCCAGGUGGGGUGGAUUUGCAGCUAGGAGACACCCCAGAGCAAACAGCCUGACCCCAGCCAGGGAUGUCCAAGAAAGACCGCGAUUCCUGAUAAUCCCUUAUGCCCCGGAGCGCCUCGCCUGCAGAGGCAGCGUCCCCGCAACCCAGCCCCAGCUCUGCCGCGGUGAGGACCUGCGGGUCGGGGUGGACUGGACACUGUCCCACCCAUCAAAUUGUGAUCUGGGAGCCGUGACAUCCGAAUGCCAUCCUCCACUGGAGAGACCCUCAGAGCAGCCACGCCCCUAGCGACUGUCCCGCCACCCGAGGCCGGGGGUCGCGCGACUCACCCAAAAGACUGGUGUUUCAGGCGCUCCACGGAGCAGGUUGUUUGUCAGCCGCUAGGUGCCGUCAGGGUUCCCGGCUCUGGCGUCCGUGGGCGGCUACGGGAAGCGACAGGAGUCAGUCCUGGUUCACUUCCCGGCUCCCGCGCCUUACUGCUGUGGUUUCCCCACCCUCCCCGCGCCCCGCCUUCUGUGUAUGGGGCGUCCCUGGCGGCUCUGCUGGAUUUUGGACAGGGACCCGCCGCUGAUCGCCACCCAGCUCGGCCUCCUGCACAGCCUCUGGAGCCUUGGACCGCGACUGGCUUGCUGUGGGACGAGCACAGAGGGAUAAGGACAAAGAAUGUGUCCUGGGUGGAUCUGGCUGCCUUUGCCCCGAAGGCGGAGUGGGGUGGGAGGUGGCAGGAAAAUGGGAAGGAAAGAAGAGAAAGGCUUUGUCUUCCGCAGCAAGUGGGCCGACGUCCACCUGGCUGUUCCAGGCCUCCAGGUCUAGGAGGGAGGGCGCUCGGGGCUGGGACUUUUCAGGACCAGGGUGGUCACCGCACAGGCCCCGCCUGCCUGGACCCAGCGCUGGCCUUCCCGGGGCGCCCAGGUCCACGGGGUCAACGCCAGGGUUUUCUCAGCUUCCUCGUCUGCCUCGGAUCGGAGUCCAGACAGUGCCAGAAGCGACUUGGAGGCGCUGCUUUUUGACAGUACACACCUCUGGAUGUAGGUGAAACGGUGGGGGAAGGGUUCAGUAUGCUGGACUGUGCCCAGCCCAAGCUCCCCAUCCGUUAGUGAUAACUUGGACUCGCAGCCACUCCGCGUCACUCGCCAGUUAUCCUGCGUGUGGGUGUUUUCUCCAAAUUGGACACUUAGGGAACAGUUUAAGCAGUAUGGAGCACAAUUCUGUGCGUAUUAGAUGCUCGUAAAUACCCAACUUAUCAGGGCCCUACACUGACUCAUAGUUUGACCUAUUGGCUGUAAACACACCAGCCAGAAAUACAAAUAAAGUUAAACAAAGUCAUGUCGGCCACUUGG